rnacentral:rRNA from 3 species
ACUGUGUGUUGUUGGGUAGGGGAGCGUUCUGUAAGCCGUUGAAGGUGUCCUGUGAGGGGUGCUGGAGGUAUCAGAAGUGCGAAUGCUGACAUAAGUAACGAUAAAGCGGGUGAAAAGCCCGCUCGCCGGAAGACCAAGGGUUCCUGUCCAACGUUAAUCGGGGCAGGGUGAGUCGACCCCUAAGGCGAGGCCGAAAGGCGUAGUCGAUGGGAAACGGGUUAAUAUUCCCGUACUUGGUGUUACUGCGAAGGGGGGACGGAGAAGGCUAUGUUGGCCGGGCGACGGUUGUCCCGGUUUAAGCGUGUAGGUGUGUGUUCCAGGUAAAUCCGGUUCACUUUAACACUGAGGCGUGAUGACGAGGCACCACGGUGCUGAAGCAACAAAUGCCCUGCUUCCAGGAAAAGCCUCUAAGCAUCAGGUAACAUCAAAUCGUACCCCAAACCGACACAGGUGGUCAGGUAGAGAAUACCAAGGCGCUUGAGAGAACUCGGGUGAAGGAACUAGGCAAAAUGGUGCCGUAACUUCGGGAGAAGGCACGCUGACACGUAGGUGAAGUGAUUUACUCAUGGAGCUGAAGUCAGUCGAAGAUACCAGCUGGCUGCAACUGUUUAUUAAAAACACAGCACUGUGCAAACACGAAAGUGGACGUAUACGGUGUGACGCCUGCCCGGUGCCGGAAGGUUAAUUGAUGGGGUCAGCGCAAGCGAAGCUCCUGAUCGAAGCCCCGGUAAACGGCGGCCGUAACUAUAACGGUCCUAAGGUAGCGAAAUUCCUUGUCGGGUAAGUUCCGACCUGCACGAAUGGCGUAAUGAUGGCCAGGCUGUCUCCACCCGAGACUCAGUGAAAUUGAACUCGCUGUGAAGAUGCAGUGUACCCGCGGCAAGACGGAAAGACCCCGUGAACCUUUACUAUAGCUUGACACUGAACAUUGAGCCUUGAUGUGUAGGAUAGGUGGGAGGCUUUGAAGCGUGGACGCCAGUCUGCGUGGAGCCGACCUUGAAAUACCACCCUUUAAUGUUUGAUGUUCUAACGUGGACCCGUAAUCCGGGUUGCGGACAGUGUCUGGUGGGUAGUUUGACUGGGGCGGUCUCCUCCUAAAGAGUAACGGAGGAGCACGAAGGUUGGCUAAUCCUGGUCGGACAUCAGGAGGUUAGUGCAAUGGCAUAAGCCAGCUUGACUGCGAGCGUGACGGCGCGAGCAGGUGCGAAAGCAGGUCAUAGUGAUCCGGUGGUUCUGAAUGGAAGGGCCAUCGCUCAACGGAUAAAAGGUACUCCGGGGAUAACAGGCUGAUACCGCCCAAGAGUUCAUAUCGACGGCGGUGUUUGGCACCUCGAUGUCGGCUCAUCACAUCCUGGGGCUGAAGUAGGUCCCAAGGGUAUGGCUGUUCGCCAUUUAAAGUGGUACGCGAGCUGGGUUUAGAACGUCGUGAGACAGUUCGGUCCCUAUCUGCCGUGGGCGCUGGAAGACUGAGGGGGGCUGCUCCUAGUACGAGAGGACCGGAGUGGACGCAUCACUGGUGUUCGGGUUGUCAUGCCAAUGGCACUGCCCGGUAGCUAAAUGCGGAAAAGAUAAGUGCUGAAAGCAUCUAAGCACGAAACUUGCCCC